UACGAAGGGGGCAAGCGUUGUUCGGAAUUACUGGGCGUAAAGGGCGCGUAGGCGGCUUAUCAAGUCAGGCGUGAAAUUCCCGGGCUCAACCUGGGGGCUGCGCUUGAUACUGAUGAGCUUGAAUGCGGGAGAGGAUAGUGGAAUUCCCAGUGUAGAGGUGAAAUUCGUAGAUAUUGGGAAGAACACCGGUGGCGAAGGCGGCUAUCUGGCCCGUAAUUGACGCUGAGGCGCGAAAGCGUGGGGAGCAAACGGG
rnacentral:rRNA from 1 species